AUUGAACGCUGGCGGCAGGCCUAACACAUGCAAGUCGAACGAGAGGCGGACGGGUGAGUAAUGUCUGGGAAACUGCUUGAUGGAGGGGGAUAACUACCGGAAACGGUAGCUAAUACCGCAUACCACCUGCUGUGCCCAUAGGGGAUUAGCUAGUAGGUGGGGUAACGGCUCACCUAGGCGUCGAUCCCUAGCUGGUCUGAGAGGAUGACCAGCCACACUGGAAGUGCGACACGGUCCAUGAUCCCACGCGAGGCAGCAGUGGGGAAUAUUGCACAAUGGGCGAAAGCCAGAUGCAGCCAUACCGAGUGUAUGAAGAAGGCCUUCGGGUUGUAAAGUACUUUCAGAGAGGAGGCGUUGCUCGCAGAAGAGGCACCAGCUGACGCCGUGCCAGCCGCCGCGGUAAUUC
rnacentral:rRNA from 1 species